rnacentral:rRNA from 1 species
UAUUCACUCUGGCGGCGUGCCUAAUACAUGCAAGUCGAGCGAACGGACGAGAAGCUUGCUUCUCUGAUGUUAGCGGCGGACGGGUGAGUAACACGUGGAUAACCUACCUAUAAGACUGGGAUAACUUCGGGAAACCGGAGCUAAUACCGGAUGAUAUUUUGAACCGCAUGGUUCAAAAGUGAAAGACGGUCUUGCUGUCACUUAUAGAUGGAUCCGCGCUGCAUUAGCUAGUUGGUAAGGUAACGGCUUACCAAGGCAACGAUGCAUAGCCGACCUGAGAGGGUGAUCGGCCACACUGGAACUGAGACACGGUCCAGACUCCUACGGGAGGCAGCAGUAGGGAAUCCUCCGCAAUGGGCGAAAGCCUGACGGAGCAACGCCGCGUGAGUGAUGAAGGUCUUCGGAUCGUAAAACUCUGUUAUUAGGGAAGAACAUAUGUGUAAGUAACUGUGCACAUCUUGACGGUACCUAAUCAGAAAGCCACGGCUAACUACGUG